rnacentral:rRNA from 1 species
AGCUAAAACAUUAUUUGGCCGAAUUUACGCGAGAGUAGCUAAGCGUGCUUGGGCGAGAGUAGUACUAGGAUUGGUGACCUCAUGGAAAGUCCUCGUGUUGCACCCC